rnacentral:ncRNA from 3 species
UGUGGGAGCGGGCUUGCUCGCGAAAGCGGUGUGUCAGGCGAUAUUUUCGUAUCUGAUACACCGCCUUCGCGAGCAAGCCCGCUCCCACA